CCUACGGGAGGCAGCAGUGAGGAAUAUUGGUCAAUGGGCGGGAGCCUGAACCAGCCAAGUCGCGUGAGGGAAGACGGUCCUAUGGAUUGUAAACCUCUUUAGGCGGGGAGCAAUGCCGGGCACGCGUGCCCGGCGGGAGAGUACCCGCAGAAUAAGCAUCGGCUAACUCCGUGCCAGCAGCCGCGGUAAUACGGAGGAUGCGAGCGUUAUCCGGAUUUAUUGGGUUUAAAGGGUGCGUAGGCGGACGCUUAAGUCAGCGGUAAAAUUGCGGGGCUAAACCUCGUCGAGCCGUUGAAACUGGGGGCCUUGAGUGGGCGAGAAGUACGCGGAAUGCGUGGUGUAGCGGUGAAAUGCAUAGAUAUCACGCAGAACUCCGAUUGCGAAGGCAGCGUACCGGCGCCCAACUGACGCUGAAGCACGAAGGCGUGGGUAUCGAACAGGAUUAGAUACCCUGGUAGUC
rnacentral:rRNA from 1 species